rnacentral:rRNA from 1 species
ACGAGUGGCGAACGGGUGAGUAACGCGUAGGAAUCUACCCAGGAGUGGGGGACAACCCGGAGAAAUCCGGGCUAAUACCGCAUAUGCCCUACGGGGUAAAGUGGGGGACCUCUUCGGAGGCCUCACGCUUCUGGAUGAGCCUGCGUCGGAUUAGCUUGUUGGUGAGGUAAAGGCUCACCAAGGCGACGAUCCGUAGCUGGUCUGAGAGGAUGACCAGUCACACUGGGACUGAGACACGGCCCAGACUCCUACGGGAGGCAGCAGUGGGGAAUAUUGGACAAUGGGGGAAACCCUGAUCCAGCCAUGCCGCGUGUGUGAAGAAGGCCCUAGGGUUGUAAAGCACUUUCAGUGGGGAAGAAAAGCCUAAGGUUAAUACCUUUGGGUCUUGACGGUACCUACAGAAGAAGCACCGGCUAAUUCCGUGCCAGCAGCCGCGGUAAUACGGAAGGUGCAAGCGUUAAUCGGAAUUACUGGGCGUAAAGCGCGCGUAGGCGGC